GACGAACGCUGGCGGCGUGCUUAACACAUGCAAGUCGAACGGAAAGGCCCUGCUUUUGUGGGGUGCUCGAGUGGCGAACGGGUGAGUAACACGUGUGUAACCUGCCCUUGACUUUGGGAUAACUUCAGGAAACUGGGGCUAAUACCGGAUAGGAUCUCCUGCUGCACGGGGGGGGUUGGAAAGUUUCGGCGGUUGGGGAUGUACUCGCGGCUUAUCAGCUGGUUGGUGGGGUAGUGGCUUACCAAGUCUUUGACGGGUAGCCGGCCUGAGAGGGUGGCCGGCCACAUUGCGACUGCGAUACGGCCCAGACGCCUACGGGAGGCAGCAGUGGGGAACAUUGCACAGUGGGCGGAAGCCUGAUGCGGCAACGCCGCGUGCGGGAUGACGGCCUUCGGGUUGUAAACAGCUUUCGAAUGUGCCGAAGAGUGAGUGACGGUAAUGGGUAAAGAAGCACCGGCUAACUACGUG
rnacentral:rRNA from 1 species